rnacentral:rRNA from 1 species
AUGCAGUCGUACGGUAAGCUUCGGCUUAUAGUGGCGAAAGGGAGAGUAACGCGUGGUUACAUGCCCUCGGGACCGGGAUAGCGGCGGGAAACUGCCGGUAAUACCGGAUAAUAUCUUUGGAUCAAAGGUGUGAUUCCGCCCGAGGAUUGGACCGCGUUCUAUUAGCUUGUUGGCGGGGUAAUGGCCCACCAAGGCGACGAUGGAUACCGGGUGUGAGAGCAUGGCCCGGCUCACUGGGACUGAGACACUGCCCAGACACCUACGGGUGGCUGCAGUCGAGAAUCUUCGGCAAUGGGGGCAACCCUGACCGAGCGACGCCGCGUGCGGGACGAAGGCCUUCGGGUUGUAAACCGCUGUCAGUUGGGAGGAAGUGCCGGGGGGUUCUCCCCUCGGUUUGACCGAUCUUCAGAGGAAGGACGGGCUAAGUUCGUGCCAGCAGCCGCGGUAAGACGAACCGUCCAAACGUUAUUCGGUAUCACUGGGCUUAAAGCGUGCGUAGGCGGCCUGGUAGGUGAGGUGUGAAAGCCCACGGCUCAACCGUGGAAUUGCGCUUCAAACCACCAGGCUGGAGGAUGGCAGGGGUGAUGGGAACUGAUGGUGGAGCGGUGAAAUGCGUUGAUAUCAUCAGGAACACCGGUGGCGAAGGCGCAUCACUGGGCCAUUUCUGACGCUGAGGCACGAAAGCUAGGGUAGCGAACGG